rnacentral:sRNA from 1 species
GAGAAGCAACAGGUUUAGAACAGGAGGACAGGAAACACGGAGAGGGACUCCAAACUCUUACUGAGGAAAGUGUAUAGCUUGCUUCUGGCAAUGGGCAAUAUCAAGGGCUUCUACCUGCUUCUUAGAGAAAGGGUUAGAACACUGGUGCCUUCAGGUCUAGGAGGGAGCGUCUAUCCUGCAUCAACCACUAGGGCAAAGUGGACUCACAUAAAUAUUUUUCUCUCUCAAGUCUCAUGUCCUUACUAGUCAUCAUAACUUCCCAUCAUAACACACCCCAUAUGCUUGGGCUCCCUGACUCUGCCCUUCUGAAGUUCACUGGGCUGAGGGAUCCGAGAGUGAGAGGCGACACUCCCCUCAGGAUGGCUAAUCUUGACAGUCAAUUUGAGAAGGCCUAAAAUCACCUAGGAGACAAGCCUCUGAGCAUGUCUGAGGGGUCUCGAGAUUCAGUUAAUCACACUAAGAAGACCCACCCAGACUGUGGGUAACAGCGUAGACCAGGGUGCUAGACCAAGUUAAAAAGAGAGAGCAAGCAGAGUCCAGCAUUCAUCUCUCUCCGCUUCCUGAGUGAGGAUGCCACAUGGGCCAGUCUUCUCAAGGUCCUGCCACCACAUUUCCCCACUGUGCCCUCAGACUGUGGGCUGAUGAACCCACUCUCCUUUUAGAUGCUUUAGUCACAGGAAAGAGAGAAACGGCCAAUACAACCUCCAUCACCCAGGGUGUUAACAGAGCAACUCCUCCAGGCUUCAGAAAAGGAAACAACAGUUUAGAGAGGAGAGAUGUACUGGAAAUAAAUGAAACCCACUGUCCCUAUGGCCUUAGGGCAUCUACAGAGCAACACUGGCCCUGGGACUCUGCCCUUGGACACCAACUCACUUCCACCAGGCAUUCUGGGAAACCACUGCCUCAGAGCUUAAUGACCUUGGACAACUCUGUGGCCUUAGAUCCAGUAAACAAGUUCACCAACUUCCCGGUCCCAUCUGGAAUUCAGGGUUCUCAAAAUUGUCUGCCAUUGUCAAGGGCACUAGGACCUGUGGCAGGCAGGUACCACCCUCUGGACUGAGCCUGGCACAGGGGAGGUAGGGGGGAGGCUUCAAUGUGCCCCUCCCCCAUCUUUCUGACUUCCUUCUUCACUGACUCCUACAAGGUUCCUCUGUGUCACAGUGCAGGCUCUGGAAGCCUCUUAGCCCUGGUCACUUGCUUAGGAGACGGGAUGUAACUGGAAUCCCCUUACAGGGCUGCUGGGAGGAGGCAAAGCCAUGGCAGGCAUAGGAAGUGGUGUCUGGGAGGCAGAAUGGCGAUAUUUUACCCACUCCACUCCCCGUCCCCUUCAAGAGUCUCUUCCUGUUUGUUCUCCCAACUUGGGUGCCAAUGUCCUUGGAGGGAAAGGGGAGGGUGGUGCUUACACUUGGUAGGCUCGGCCCCCGCCCCAAUCAUGCUCAUAAGAGAACCAGAUAAGCUGCUGCCUGGAGGACGCAGUCCUGAGAGCAUCCACAGUCUGGCUGCGACCCUGGCCUGUGAGCACCUGAACUUCUUCCUGUCUAGGGAAGGGACAGCUAACAGCGGAAGCCAACGACCUUGGUCUCUAUCCAGGAACAUGGGUCCUGAUGGAGGCUCUGAGCCUGAGUUUCCUACCAGUUGGUCUGAGAAUGAUGUGCCUGCUUGCCCUGGGCACCCUGGGCCAUUCGUCUGCUCUACUGAGACAGUGCAGGGCAGAUCCACGUGAGCCAAGGGACAGAGUCUCACCCCAGGCUCUGCUCUACCAUUUCCAGAUGUGGGGCGAGCUCUGUGGGUGGCAGGUCUCGUAUGCCAAUCUCAUCAUGUCGGUGUGUUUCUGACAAGCAAGCACACCUUUUAUAAUAUUAAGAAAGAUGAAUAAAGAUUGAUUUAAAAUUG